rnacentral:rRNA from 1 species
CAGUAGCCGCGGGAAUACGAAGGUCCCGAGCGUUGUUCGGAAUCACUGGGCGUAAAGGGAGCGUAGGCGGUAUGGUAAGUCAGAUGUGAAAUCCCGGGGCUCAACCCCGGAACUGCAUCCGAUACUGCCGUGCUAGAGGACUGGAGAGGCAACUGGAAUUCUCGGUGUAGCAGUGAAAUGCGUGGAGAUCGAGAGGAACACUCGUGGCGAAAGCGAGUUGCUGGACAGUAUCUGACGCUGAGGCUCGAAGGCCAGGGUAGCGAAAGGGAUUAGAUACCCCUGUAGUCCCUGUCUCUUAUAC